UUCUGAACUGAUUGCAGAAGGACUAGACACUGCAGAAAGGCCAGGAUAUGAAUGGGGAAGACGAGAUUCGGAGCCGCUGGCGAUUGUGGUUUCAGGGUCAAGAAGCCUGCAUCUGACUUCAGGUGAUCCAAGCUUUCCUCUGAGGUCAUCUAAUUGCCACAGAUGGAAGGGGCUUGGAAGAAUCAGUCUGGCCAAGAGAGGACACACAGUUCCAAAGCUUGCCUGGGUUCCAGGAAGCAGCUGCUAUGAGCAAGCUGCUGCAGACCAGGCCCUUUGCAUACAGCAAUGACUUGCUCACAUCCAGGCACUGAGUUCUUGCUGCCUGUGGGAAGCCGGGCUCUUGUCUGUGGAGCUGGUGCAUCACAGAGUGCGUGUGCUGGCUGAGGUGAGGCACAGGAGCAUAAAUGGAGCAUGUGCGUGGCCACCAUCGCUAUGGAAAUCAUGACUCUGAAGGCUGAUGCCGCAUCUAAAUGAGCUGAAAUGAAAUGCAAAGAGCACAUCCAUCACAUAGGUUCACACUGCUUCGGGCUUGCAUCUCAUUACUGUACCACUCUGCCUAUGUAUUAUGAAUUAAUAUAUUUAAUAAAUCCUGUAAUUAUCUGUGAACAGCA